CACAAUAAGAGCACGUGUAAAUGAUAUGCUUUUGGUUCCUUCCUAGAGAUAACUCUCUGCUGCUUCAUUACCACUUGUCUGCAUUCUUCCAGCAUGUUUAAUUUUUUUUGUCCUAGACUUUACAAGUAAGAUGUAGUGAUACUGUCAGAUGUCGAACUUUAAAGCUUCUGUUCCAGUUCCCAGUUAUCUAUUAUUUUUGUAGUUCUUUCAGAAGAAGCUGAAAAUUGAUCAAGUUAUCUUUCUUCUUUUUUUUUCUGUCUAAUCUUGUAGGGUUUUUCUUUUCUUAAUACAUCCUAAUUCUGUUUCGGGUUGAAGUGGUAGUUGUUAGGGUCAUUCUUUUCAAGUGUGCGUAUAUUCCGAACUUACUGAUAAUAUUAAUUAGAUACAUGUAUUAACAAGCAGCUUUAGUAAUUAGUGAACUCCUGAUAGAGACAGCACAAUAGUUUGAGACAGGAAUUUUCUCGAGCAGCAAGACAAAGUGAUCCAGAUGCUCUUUGUUUCGGUAUCAAAAACUGUGUUCUCUGCUAUGUACGUCGGGUUCAGGAUACACACCGUCUCGGCUAUUUAUAAUCCUGGGAUUUGGUAGUGAUGGUCACAGCCUGAGACUACUCAGAAUUAAAUAAAAGGCAAAAGAGAAAUACAAUAUGUUGGUUUUAGGUCACUGAAAAAGCUUUUCUUCUGUAAAAGUUUCAUUAUAACAGGGUGAAGAUAUUAUUAAGUGAGCACAAGCAGCCGAAUAUGGAAACUGCCCAAGAAUUUCCAAGAAGUCAGCAUAAAGAGCAGAGAAGGAGAGAGGCUUAAAGUGUUUGCAGUUUGUAUUUCCAUCCCUGUUUGCCUUGCUGGAAACUCACCCUGGCUUCAUACCUGGGACCAGCCGGCACAGAGAUGUGGCUGAAUACUGGGGCAUAUUCUAAACCAUAUUCUAUUUGCCUCCCUUACAGGCACGUUUUUUCCCUAGAGUUUUAGCAUUUAUUCC